rnacentral:rRNA from 1 species
GAUGAACGCUGGCGGCGUGCCUAAUACAUGCAAGUCGAGCGAACAGACGCGGCGCUUGCUCCUCUGACGUUAGCGGCGGACGGGUGAGUAACGCGUGGAUCACCUACCUAUCAGACUGGGAUAACUUCGGGACACCGGCUCUAACACCGGAUAAUAUAUUGAACCGCAUGGUUCAAUAGUGAAAGACGGCUUUGCUGUCUCUUAUAGAUGGAUCCGCGCCGCAUUAGCUAGUUGGUAAGGUAACGGCUUACCACGGCAACGAUGCGUAACCGACGUGAGAGACUGAUCGGCCACACUGGAACUGGAACACGGUCCAGGCUCCUGCGGGAGGGAGCAGUAGGGAACCUUCGGCAAUGGGCGGAAGCCUGACGGAGCAACGCCGCGUGAGUGAUGAAGGUCUUCGGAUCGUAAAGCUCUGUUAUUAGGGAAGAACAAAUGUGUAAGUAACUAUGCACGUCGUGACGGUACCUAAUCAGAAAGCCACGGCUAACUACGUG